rnacentral:rRNA from 1 species
GUGGGGAAUAUUGGGCAAUGGGCGCAAGCCUGACCCAGCAACGCCGCGUGAGGGAAGAAGGUCUUCGGAUUGUAAACCUCUGUCCUCGGGGACGAAAAAAAUGACGGUACCCGGGGAGGAAGCUCCGGCUAACUACGUGCCAGCAGCCGCGGUAAUACGUAGGGAGCGAGCGUUGUCCGGAAUUACUGGGCGUAAAGGGUGCGUAGGCGGCGCUGCAAGUCAGAUGUGAAAUUCCCGGGCUUAACUCGGGGGGUGCAUUUGAAACUGCGGUGCUUGAGUGCAGGAGAGGAAAGCGGAAUUCCUAGUGUAGCGGUGAAAUGCGUAGAUAUUAGGAGGAACACCAGUGGCGAAGGCGGCUUUCUGGACUGUAACUGACGCUGAGGCACGAAAGCGUGGGGAGCAAACAGGAUUAGAUACCCGAGUAGUCC